rnacentral:rRNA from 1 species
UACGUAGGUGGCAAGCGUUGUCCGGAUUUACUGGGCGUAAAGAGCGCGCAGGCGGUCGUCCAAGUCGCGUGUGAAAGCCCCCGGCUCAACUGGGGAGGGUCACUCGAUACUGAUCGACUCGAAGGCAGAAGAGGGAAGCGGAAUUCCCGGUGUAGUGGUGAAAUGCGUAGAUAUCAGGAGGAACACCGAUGGCGAAGGCAGAUCUCUGGGCCGAUAUCGACGCUGAGGAGCGAAAGCGUGGGGAGCGAACAGG